AUUGAACGCUGGCGGCAUGCCUUACACAUGCAAGUCGAACGGUAACAGGUCUUCGGAUGCUGACGAGUGGCGAACGGGUGAGUAAUACAUCGGAACGGGCCUAGUAGUGGGGGAUAACUACUCGAAAGAGUGGCUAAUACCGCAUGAGAUCUACGGAUGAAAGCAGGGGAUCGCAAGACCUUGUGCUACUAGAGCGGCCGAUGGCAGAUUAGGGAGUUGGGGGGAUAAAAGCUUACCAAGCCGACGAUCUGUAGCUGGUCUGAGAGGACGAUCGGCCACACUGGGAGUGAGACACGGCCCAGACUCCGACGGGAGGCAGCAGUGGGGAAUUUUGGACAAUGGGCGAAAGCCUGAUCCAGCAAUGCCGCGUGCAGGAUGAAGGCCUUCGGGUUGUAAACUGCUUUUGUACGGAACGAAAAGCCCCGGGUUAAUACCCUGGGGUCAUGACGGUACCGUAAGAAUAAGCACCGGCUAACUACGUGCCAGCCGCAGCCGCAG
rnacentral:rRNA from 1 species